GACGAACCGUGCGAACGUUAUUCGGAAUCACUGGCUUAAAGCGCGUGUAGGCGGGCGCCCCGUCGGCUGCUGAAAUCCCCGGCUCAACCGGGAAGUGGCACCGAUACGAGCGGCCUCGAGGGGGUAGGGGGUCUGGAACUUCCGGUGGAGCGGUGAAAUGCGUUGAGAUCGGAAGGAACGCCCGUGGCGAAAGCGAGGCCCUGGACCCUUACUGACGCUGAGACGCGAAAGCCAGGGAGCGAACGGG
rnacentral:rRNA from 1 species